UACGUAGGGUGCAAGCGUUGUCCGGAAUUAUUGGGCGUAAAGGGCUCGUAGGCGGUUUGUCGCGUCGGGAGUGAAAACCCAGGGCUUAACCCUGGGCUGGCUUUCGAUACGGGCAGACUAGAGGUAUGCAGGGGAGAACGGAAUUCCUGGUGUAGCGGUGAAAUGCGCAGAUAUCAGGAGGAACACCGGUGGCGAAGGCGGUUCUCUGGGCAUGAUCUGACGCUGAGGAGCGAAAGUGUGGGGAGCGAACAGG
rnacentral:rRNA from 1 species